rnacentral:rRNA from 1 species
GUAGGUGGCAAGCGUUGUCCGGAAUUAUUGGGCGUAAAGCGCGCGCAGGUGGUUCUUUAAGUCUGAUGUGAAAGCCCCCGGGCUCAACCGGGGAGGGUCAUUGGAAACUGGGGAACUUGAGUGCAGGAGAGGAAAGUGGAAUUCCACGUGUAGCGGUGAAAUGCGUAGAUAUGUGGAGGAACACCAGUGGCGAAGGCGACUUUCUGGCCUGUAACUGACACUGAGGCGCGAAAGCGUGGGGAGCAAACAGGAUUAGAUACCCUGGUAGUCCACGCCGUAAACGAUGAGUGCUAAGUGUUGGGGGGGUUUCCGCCCCUCAGUGCUGCAGCUAACGCAUUAAGCACUCCGCCUGGGGAGUACGGUCGCAAAGACUGA